GAAGAACUAGGUAGCAUGCGAGAGCUAUUCACCGAUUCCUUCAAGACCGUGUUACGAGCAAUCAAUAGUCAACAUGAUUUAAUAUCAAUGCUAAGGUGUCAUUUAUAAUAUAGUCAUUUUGGCCAAAAAUAAGUACACUAGUUAUGUUUAUAUUAGCAUUCACAAAGCUGCAUCCUUAAUCUAUUUACUUGCAGGGUAGUGGCAGUUUUAAAAAAAAUGCUGACCAUUACCAAGCAGGGAACACACAACAGUAUCAUGGUAGUAGUUCCAAACAAGAAUUGGGCAGCAGCACUAAAAUAAGUAUUUACAAUUCUAAUACAAAUUUGUGACAGACUUACAUAUGUUAUACAUAUUUACAAAUUGUCAACAACUUUUAGUACAUAUCAUCUACAUUAUAUUUCCAUAUAUUGUUGUAAGUACAGAACAUAUGCCUGAUAUUCUAAAAGAGAAGAAUGUUCCUAUAUCAUGUCCAAUAGGUGUUGCCUUAUCUUCCCAGUUUCAAGAGGCAUUCAUGAAAGAAACAACAUAGAAGGAGACUAUACAUUUACACUCUCCAAAUCAGGAUGCGAGUGUUGCCAUAAAAAUAGAGGAUUUCAAUGAACAUUUAAUUGAGAAAGGAACGAUGCAUUUGCACUCUUCAAUUCAGGAAGCAAAUAUUUUCCAACAAGGAGAGAAUUACAAUGAAGAUUUCAAUGGUGAACCAGUCGACUUCGUCAAUGUUGCUGACUCGGACAAUGAUUUUAAGUAUGGAAAAAGGUCAAUAACCCUAGAUGAUUUUGAGUUGCCUAAGAACUUUUCACAUAUAGUUAAGUUUGGCGAUGUUAACCAAGAUGAAACAACCUCUCUACAACAAGGAAGAACAAGGCUUUCUGGAAAGCAUGCUAGAUCUCUAUUUGUCCCGGAUUUCAGCUAUGGUAGAAGCAGUUCUACUGGAUCUCCCCCUAUUUUUCACAUUAAGCAUCAAUUUACUGGGGUUAUUGGUGCUAAUAUUGAUCCUAAUUAGUUGAAAGAAUUGUGUGACUGUGUAUAUUUUGGG